CUUAAUACAGACUUACUAAUUAUUGGAAAAUAUAAGAGGUUAUUUAAGAAUCAAGGUUUUUAUAUGAAGAAUAGUAAUGGAAGGUUAUUCAAAAAGAGUAUCCAAUACGACAAAGAAGUAAAGCAAUCCUCUCUAUAGAAGGAAGAUUUAUGGAUUCAGGAUUAAUUCCUCAUCGGCGAGGAGAGACACGAUGUUACGAACACCGCUUGUUCACGUACGCCUCGGAACAAAUAAACGUUUGCGCUCGUUGCACGAAGCUCGGUCGUAAACGACCACGCGGAUCCGUAAUAGUUUCUAAAGCGAGCAAGAUUUAUCGGGGAGUUUGCCAGUCGGUCCACCGGCGGCUGUUUAUAAUUGGAAUCGACCGGGAACACUACAACCCGUAAAUAUCGAUUCUUUCGGCCACGAACAUCGUGUUCACCGCGUGUUUCUGAAGCAGGUACAAGUGACUACAAGUGAUUAGCUGGGGAAGAAAUGGAGCUCGGGAGAUUAGGUGGAAGAUCAGAAGCUGACGUGGAACCUCAUCAGGAAUCUCAUCUGGGAGGACUUAUCUAUCAGGACUUAUUCUAGGACUUCAGGAAUUCGUUUAAGAUCUUAUUUAGGAGCUUAGAACUUAAUUUGGAACAUUAAGAUCUCAUCGAGGAUCUGAAGACUUAAUUUAGGAAUUAGGACUUAAUCUAGGACCUUAGGAUUUAAUGUAGGAUAUCAGGACCUCAUCUGCAAUCUCAUGUAGGAUCUUAGGACUUAAUUUAGGACUUUAAGAUGUCAUGUAGGAUCUCAGGACUUAAUCUAGGACUUCAGCAAUCAAUCUAGAAUCUUGGGACUAAAUCUAGGAUUUGAAGAUCUUAUCUGAAACCUCAUCUAGGACCUCAGAACUGAAUCUAAAACUUCAGAACAUCAUUUAGAACCUCAGAACUUCAUUUAAGGCUUUGGGCACUUAAUCUAAAGCCUUAGAACUUAAUCUAAGACUUCAGAAGCUCAUCUGAAACCUCAUCUAGGACCUCAGAACUGAAUCUAAAACUACAGAACCUCAUCUAGAACCUCAGAACUUCAUUCAAGACUUUGGGCACUUAAUCUAGAGCCUUAGAACUUAAUCUAAGACUUCAGAAGCUCAUCUGAAACCUCAUCUAGGACUUCAGAACUGAAUCUAAAACUUCAGAACUUCAUCUAGAACCUCAGAACUGAAUCUAAAGCUUCAAAACCUCAUCUAGAACCUCAGAACUUCAUUCAAGCCUAUAGCACUUAACCUAGAGUCUUAGAACUUAAUCUAGGACCUCAGAAGUCCAUCUGAAACCUCAUCUAGAACCUCAGAACUUCAUUCAAGCCUAUAGCACUUAACCUAGAAUCUUAGAACUUAAUCUAGGACCUCAGAAGUCCAUCUGAAACCUUAUCUAGAACCUCAGAACUGAAUCUAAACCUUCAGAACCUCAUCCAGAACCUCAUAACUUCAUUCAAAACUUUGCCACUUAAUCUAAGACCCUAAGACUUAAUCUAGAACUUCAAAGUCUCAUCUAAGAUCUUACCUAGAUCCUCAGAACUUAAUCUAGAACUCCAAGAUCUCAUCUAACAUCUCAUCUGUAUACUCAGCUCAUAAUCUAAAGCUGAACCUCAUCUAUUACCUCAGAACUUCAUUCAGAACUUCAACGGUGGAUCAAAAAGAAGUGGAAGAGUAGAUUAAUGCAUCAUCAUCAAUGAAUCUGAGCUCCUGUUCAUAAAUCUCGAACUUGACCCAGACCAUCAGUGAUAACGAGGAUAUAGUUGGUCACUUUGAUUAGCGAGCGUGCGUAAUGGGUAUAAACACGCUCGUCGGUGAUUAACUAGCGGCUUGAUAACGCGAAUUUUUCUCGUUCGACUACACGCGAUCGCGUUUACGAUCAUGCAUGUUCUUUUUCGUCAUUACAAGCGUCUAGCCGUAAUUCAUCAUUCCUUUCUCAUUUUGUCAAGCCCCUUGGCUAUUAGGACAGUCAUUGCUCGUCGAUUACGAUUUCAAUGUCAACGACUUCUGUAUGAACACUGGAAACAGAUUUUUAAUAUCUGAUAAGCUUAAUAAGUUUCGCUACUUGAUAUGUUUCACGAUGCAAAUGAUGUUUAAUACAAAUACGUCGAGUCAUAAAUUAUCUCGACGUAGUUAAUAUUAAAUCUGAUGAUUAAACGUAUCGACUCAUU